GCAGCCGUGCCCGAGUGGUUAAGGGGAUUGACUAGAAAUCAAUUGGGCUCUGCCCGCGCGAGUUCGAGUCUCGUCGGCUGCG
rfam:Emiliania huxleyi CCMP1516 EMIHTscaffold_6464_Cont13952, whole genome shotgun sequence.